UACGUAGGGUGCAAGCGUUAAUCGGAAUUACUGGGCGUAAAGCGUGCGCAGGCGGUUAUGCAAGACAGAGGUGAAAUCCCCCGGGCUCAACCUGGGAACUGCCUUUGUGACUGCAUGACUAGAGUACGGUAGAGGGUCGCGGAAUUCCCGGUGUAGAGGUGAAAUUCGUAGAUAUCGGGAGGAACACCGGUGGCGAAGGCGGCGACCUGGGGACAAUACUGACGCUGAGGUGCGAAAGCGUGGGGGAGCAAACAGG
rnacentral:rRNA from 1 species